rnacentral:rRNA from 1 species
UGGGGAAUUUUGGACAAUGGGCGCAAGCCUGAUCCAGCAAUGCCGCGUGCAGGAUGAAGGCCUUCGGGUUGUAAACUGCUUUUGUCAGGGAAGAAACGAGUUUCUCUAAUACAGAGACUUAAUGACGGUACCUGAAGAAUAAGCACCGGCUAACUACGUGCCAGCAGCCGCGGUAAUACGUAGGGUGCGAGCGUUAAUCGGAAUUACUGGGCGUAAAGCGUGCGCAGGCGGUUAUAUAAGACAGAUGUGAAAUCCCCGGGCUCAACCUGGGACCUGCAUUUGUGACUGUAUAGCUAGAGUACGGUAGAGGGGGAUGGAAUUCCGCGUGUAGCAGUGAAAUGCGUAGAUAUGCGGAGGAACACCGAUGGCGAAGGCAAUCCCCUGGACCUGUACUGACGCUCAUGCACGGAAGCGUGGGGAGCAAACA